AACUUUUGACAACGGAUCUCUUGGCUCUCGCAUCGAUGAAGAACGCAGCGAAAUGCGGUAAGUAAUGUGAAUUGCAGAAUUCAGUGAAUCAUCGAAUCUUUGAACGCACCUUGCGCUCUGUGGUAUUCCGAAGAGCAUGCCUGUUUGAGUGUCAUGAAAAUAUCAACCUUGACUUGGGUUUAGUGCGCUUGUCUUGGCUUGGAUUUGGCUGUUUGCCGCUCGAACCAGUCGGCUCAGCUGAGAGGUAUUAGCUGGAUCUGGCUUUGAGGCUUGGUUUGACUGGGCGUAAUAGGUGAUUUCGCUGAUGACAAUCUUCGGAUUGGCGGAGUUUCUGGGACGUUUGUCCGCUUUCUAAUACAAGUUCUAACUCGCUAGACAUAACUCUUUUAUUAUCUGACCUCAAAUCAGGUAGGAAUAACCGCUAAACUCAAGCAUAUUCAUAAACGGAGGCU
rnacentral:misc_RNA from 1 species